rnacentral:rRNA from 1 species
UACGUAGGGGGCAAGCGUUGUCCGGAAUCAUUGGGCGUAAAGAGCGUGUAGGCGGCCAGAAAAGUCCGCUGUGAAAACUCGAGGCUCAACUUCGAGCUGUCGGUGGAAACUUUCUGGCUAGAGUCCGGAAGAGGAGAAUGGAAUUCCUGGUGUAGCGGUGAAAUGCGCAGAUAUCAGGAAGAACACCCGUGGCGAAGGCGGUUCUCUGGGACGGUACUGACGCUAAGGAGCGAAAGCGUGGGGAGCAAACAGG